rnacentral:piRNA from 1 species
UUGAAUGUGUAUCUGAAGCCUUCUGUGGUUC